GACGAACGCUGGCGGCGUGCUUAACACAUGCAAGUCGAACGGAAAGGCCCUGCUUUUGUGGGGUGCUCGAGUGGCGAACGGGUGAGUAACACGUGAGUAACCUGCCCUUGACUUUGGGAUAACUUCAGGAAACUGGGGCUAAUACCGGAUAGGAGCUCCUGCUGCAUGGUGGGGGUUGGAAAGUUUCGGCGGUUGGGGAUGGACUCGCGGCUUAUCAGCUUGUUGGUGGGGUAGUGGCUUACCAAGGCUUUGACGGGUAGCCGGCCUGAGAGGGUGACCGGCCACAUUGGGCCUGAGAUACGGCCCAGACUCCUACGGGAGGCAACAGUGGGGAAUAUUGCACAAUGGGCGGAAGCCUGAUGCAGCAACGCCGCGUGCGGGAUGACGGCCUUCGGGUUGUAAACCGCUUUCGCCUGUGACGAAGCGUGAGUGACGGUAAUGGGUAAAGAAGCACCGGCUAACUACGUG
rnacentral:rRNA from 1 species